UACGUAGGGCGCAAGCGUUGUCCGGAAUUAUUGGGCGUAAAGAGCUCGUAGGCGGCUUGUCACGUCGGGUGUGAAAGCCCGGGGCUUAACCCCGGGUCUGCAUUCGAUACGGGCAGGCGUAGAUGUGGUAGGGGGAGAUCGGAAUUCCUGGUGUAGCGGUGAAAUGCGCAGAUAUCAGGAGGAACACCGGUGGCGAAGGCGGAUCUCUGGGCCAUUACUGACGCUGAGGAGCGAAAGCGUGGGGAGCGAACAGG
rnacentral:rRNA from 1 species